rnacentral:rRNA from 1 species
GAUGAACGCUGGCGGCGUGCCUAAUACAUGCAAGUCGAGCGAACAGACGAGGAGCUUGCUCCUCUGACGUUAGCGGCGGACGGGUGAGUAACACGUGGAUAACCUACCUAUAAGACUGGGAUAACUUCGGGAAACCGGAGCUAAUACCGGAUAAUAUAUUGAACCGCAUGGUUCAAUAGUGAAAGACGGUUUUGCUGUCACUUAUAGAUGGAUCCGCGCCGCAUUAGCUAGUUGGUAAGGUAACGGCUUACCAAGGCAAAGAUGCGUAGCCGACCUGAGAGGGUGAUCGGCCACACUGGAACUGAGACACGGUCCAGACUCCUACGGGAGGCAGCAGUAGGGAAUCUUCCGCAAUGGGCGAAAGCCUGACGGAGCAACGCCGCGUGAGUGAUGAAGGUCUUCGGAUCGUAAAACUCUGUUAUUAGGGAAGAACAAAUGUGUAAGUAACUAUGCACGUCUUGACGGUACCUAAUCAGAAAGCCACGGCUAACUACGUG